ensembl:lncRNA
CCCGUUAUGGAUGAGAGAUUGGGAUCAUUGGUGCUUGUGUAAUUAAACGCUCAGUUGUUGCUGUAGCCGUUACAGUGGAAUCUCCCUCAUUCAUGGUUCGUUCGGCGGUUAACUGUGGGUCGUGCUGCUGUUUUUUAAUUUUUUGUCUAAUUAUAUUAUGAUUGUGUUUUCCUUUGUUUAUUACCUGUUUUGAGGUUUUUGUUUUGAUUUUCUGGAGUUUUGACUUUGCUUAUAUUUAUGACUUCAUCUCUUUGCCUUGCCAUGUUUGUGCUGUUUGUCUCAUCACCUGACUUCUUCCUGCUGAUGAUUAUUGUCUUCUGCCUUAUCCUCUGGACAUGUUGUUUGAUUAAACUGCCAUACCUGCACUUGCUUCCAUCUCAGUCUCCAUUAUGUGAUAACCAAAGUCACAACCGUGUGUUCCACCCAGGUGACUAACCUCUCCCUCAGCACAGUCAGCC